UGCGUAGGCGGAUUAAUAAGUCAGUGGUGAAAACCUGCAGCUUAACUGUAGAGCUGCCAUUGAUACUGUUAGUCUUGAGUACGGUCAAGGUAGGCGGAAUGUGUAAUGUAGCGGUGAAAUGCUUAGAUAUUACACAGAACACCGAUUGCGAAGGCAGCUUACUGGGCCAUUACUGACGCUGAGGCACGAAAGCGUGGGUAGCGAACAGGAUUAGAUACCCUGGUAGUCC
rnacentral:rRNA from 1 species